rnacentral:rRNA from 1 species
UACAGAGGGUGCAAGCGUUGUUCGGAAUUAUUGGGCGUAAAGCGCGUGUAGGCGGCUUAGCAAGUCGGGCGUGAAAGCCCUCGGCUCAACCGAGGAACUGCGCCCAAAACUACCGUGCUCGAGGAAGAUAGAGGUGAGCGGAACUCACGGUGGAGCGGUGAAAUGCGUUGAUAUCGUGAGGAACACCCGUGGCGAAAGCGGCUCACUGGGUCUUUUCUGACGCUGAUGCACGAAAGCUAGGGGAGCAAACGGG